UCAAACUUGGUCAUUUAGAGGAAGUAAAAGUCGUAACAAGGUAUCCGUAGGUGAACCUGCGGAUGGAUCAUUAACAAUUUGGGGAAACCCACACCUUAUGUGAACUAGCUGGGCUAAUCAAAAGCGUAAGCUUGCGAUGAGCUCGACUGAAUGUUAUUGAUGGCUUGCCAGAAAUAACAAUACUUAAACUUUGGGGGAUUACUUUUAGUGUCUCCCAAAAUUCAUACUAAACUUUACUAUUUAUUACCAAAAGCCAAAAUUCAUUAUUAAUACAAUACAACUUUUAACAAUGGAUCUCUUGGCUCUCGCAUCGAUGAAGAACGCAGC
rnacentral:misc_RNA from 1 species